UACGUAGGUAGCAAGCGUUGUCCGGAAUUAUUGGGCGUAAAGCGCGCGCAGGCGGUCCUUUAAGUCUGAUGUGAAAGCCCUCGGCUCAACCGAGGAGGGUCAUUGGAAACUGGAGGACUUGAGUGCAGAAGAGGAAAGUGGAAUUCCAAGUGUAGCGGUGAAAUGCGUAGAGAUUUGGAGGAACACCAGUGGCGAAGGCGACUUUCUGGUCUGUAACUGACGCUGAGGCGCGAAAGCGUGGGGAGCAAACAGG
rnacentral:rRNA from 1 species